rnacentral:rRNA from 1 species
GACGAACGCUGGCGGCGUGCCUAACACAUGCAAGUCGAGCGGAGUCGAUCGACGGAAGCCUUCGGGCGGAAGAUGGUUGACUUAGCGGCGGAUGGGUGAGUAACGCGUGGGCAACCUGCCUCGAAGACCGGGAUAACAGACCGAAAGGGCUGCUAAUACCGGAUGUGGUCAAGGAUCCGCAUGGAUCUUUGAUUAAAGGGGAAACCCGUUUCGAGAUGGGCCCGCGUCCUAUCAGCUAGUUGGUGAGGUAAAAGCUCACCAAGGCGACGACGGGUAGCCGGCCUGAGAGGGUGACCGGCCACACUGGAACUGAGACACGGUCCAGACUCCUACGGGGGGCAGCAGUGGGGAAUCUUCCACAAUGGGCGAAAGCCUGAUGGAGCGACGCCGCGUGAGCGAAGAAGGCCUUCGGUUGUAAAGCUCUGUCUGGAGGGACGAAGGAAGUGACGGUACCUCCGGAGGAAGCCACGGCUAACUACGUGCCAGCAGCCGCGGUAAAAGUACUACUAU